GAAGCGUCCGCGACCCUCGUUCGGGCGUCCUUGACCUGCCUCAGGCGAGGCUGCGUCCCGAGAGCCCUCCUGCCUUCGCCGCCCGCCUCGCGGACCUCCGGGCUCUGGUCGAGGCCGCCGCCCGCGGUGCCCGGAUGUCGCGGGCUUAAAGGGCCAGUGCCGCGCAGCCGCCGCGACGUGCGCUCCGAGCGAGCGGGCGGCCCGGGCAGCCUGAGGAGGCCCGGCUUCCGCAGCCGGCCGGUCCCUGUGAUUGGCGGAGGCGUCCAGAAUGCUGCACGUCGUAGGUUCCGCCUUUGCCGGGUCAAAAUGGUGCGGGCGAGGCCCUGCACUGGACGGCCCGGGCCUGGCGAUCGGGGACCCUAGAAAGGGAACGCUAAGUUGUUUGAGAUCGCGGAUAGGGGCGAUGGCGUCGAGGUGCGGUUUAAAAAUUAUACGGUCCUCAACAGGAAAAAUAAAAUUGUUGUGUUCGACAUUAAAGAUUUCUUUUAAAAUGGA